rnacentral:rRNA from 1 species
AUUGAACGCUGGCGGCAGGCCUAACACAUGCAAGUCGAACGAGUGGCGGACGGGUGAGUGAUGUCUGGGAAACUGCCUGAUGGAGGGGGAUAACUACUGGACACGGUAGCUAAUACCGCAUACCAUCAGAUGUGCCCAGAUGGGAGUAGCUAGUUGGUGGGGUAACGGCGCACAAAGGCGACGAUCCCUAGCUGGUCUGAGAGGAGGACCAGCCACACUGGAACUGAGACACGGUCCAGACCCCUACGUGAGGCAGCAGUGGGGAAUAUUGCACAAUGGGCGCAAGCCUGAUGCAGACAUGCCGCGUGUAUGAAGAAGGCAUUCGGGUUGUAAAGUACUUUCAGCGGGGAGGCGUUACCCGCAGAAGAAGCACCGGCUAACGCCGUGCCAGCAGCCGCGGUAAUAC